UUGAGGACGAGUCACGUACGCCCGUUGUACAUUUAACGCUCGAUUAUUUUUUUUCUUCAUUUAAAACGUGAGAGCACGUGUUAAGUGGGCUAUUUUUAAUUAUCGCCGAAGUUUAUGUGAUUCGAGAAUGUUCCUUUUUGUGCCACUUUAAGGGAAAAAAACGGGUAAAAGGCGUAAAGUAAAUGGGCCCAUUCAUCUUACAACGCAUAGACUGCUGCAAAAAAAUAAGGGAUCGGCAUUGCGUUUCUAUGGCUUCAUGAAAUACGAUUUGGAUUUUAUAGCCUCUCCAGUUGGAUAAGUGUUGCUUCGUAUUUGAUUGCAAUGCUCUGCGGCCGGGUAACCAAAAAGGGAAGAAAUAAUUCAGUAGAAUUUUGUGAUUUAGCUUUAAACUGCCAUCGACGACGCCUGAAAAUUUGAAUUAAGAUCGGGAAGAGAUAUGCGGACCGCAGCUUCAAAUUUGGAAAACUAAUUGCUACCGUAGUCGUCUAGAUAUUUACCUCCCUUGUAUUCAUUUGCAGUUUACCCGGAAGUUGGUGAGAUCGACAUCGAUGAUUCUACAACCCCCUCCAAUACAAAAAUUCAAAAAAUUGCAGUAUUCGUUUGUUCGCUCCCCUACACCACCCACGCAGGAAAUGUUUCUCGGUGUACUACAAACGCCCCUCCACCCCACUUCAAAUGAAGAAAUUGCGUGUAUUAAACCACAUGUGCAAGUGCUAAUAUUGUGCCGUAAUAUAUCUAUGGACCAUUCUUUUCAGAUACUACCAAACUCAUUAAUUUUUUGUGCAACAUCAAAUUUGGGGUUUUAUUCUAGAGUGAAGAUUUUUGUAUUGUUUAAAAAAAGUUUGGCCCGUGUGUUUACGAACCCAGUGAAUUUUGGCUUCCAAGUUAGUUUGGGCAAGCCAAGUGGCAAUUUGUAAAAUUAUUAUUAUGUGUAUUUUUGCGUGACGUUUUUGUUCUUUUGUGAAGUCAUGAGGCGAGUUCCAAUACCAAUAAUGCCCCUUGAUAGAUAGUAGCUUUUGUUGCUAACA